rnacentral:rRNA from 1 species
GACGAACGCUGGCGGCGUGCCUAAUACAUGCAAGUCGAACGCAGUGGGGACGGGUGAGUAACACGUGGGUAACCUCCCAUCAGACGGGAUAACACUUGGAAACAGGUUCUAAACCGAUACUGAUGGAUGGACCCGCGGUGCAUUAGCUAGUUGGGUAGGUAACGGCUAACCAAGGCAACGAGGCAUAGCCGGCUGGAGGGGUUGAGAGGCAAAACUGGAACUGAGACACGGCGAAAAGUCCUAGGGGAGGAAGCAGUGGGGAAUUUUGGGAAAUGGACGAAAGGCUGACCGAGCAAGGCCGCGUGGGGGAAGAAGGUUUGCGGAUUGUAAAGCUCGGUUGUUAGAGAGGCGGUAUCUAACCAGAAAGCCACGGCUAACUACGUGCCAGCAGCCGCGGUAAUAC